GGGGAUUUAGCUCAGUGAUAGAGCGCUUGCCUAGCAAGCACAAGGCCCUGGGUUCGGUCCCCAGCUCUG
rfam:Rattus norvegicus chromosome 11, whole genome shotgun sequence.